GAUGAAGAACGUAGCGAAAUGCGAUACGUAAUGUGAAUUGCAGAAUUCAGUGAAUCAUCGAGUCUUUGAACGCACAUUGCGCCCCCUGGUAUUCCGGGGGGCAUGCCUGUCCGAGCGUCAUUGCUGCCCUCAAGCACGGCUUGUGUGUUGGGCCUCCGUCCUCCUCCCGGGGGACGGGCCCGAAAGGCAGCGGCGGCACCGCGUCCGGUCCUCGAGCGUAUGGGGCUUCGUCACCCGCUCUUGUAGGCCCGGCCGGCGCUUGCCGACACAUCAUUCUUUUUUCCAGGUUGACCUCGGAUCAGGUAGGGAUACCCGCUGAACUUAAGCAUAUCAAUAAGCGGAGAA
rnacentral:misc_RNA from 1 species